rnacentral:rRNA from 1 species
GACGAACGCUGGCGGCGUGCCUAAUACAUGCAAGUCGAACGCAGUGGGGACGGGUGAGUAACACGUGGGUAACCUCCCAUCAGAGGGGAUAACCCUUGGAAACAGGUGCUAAACCGAUACUGAUUGAUGGACCCGCGGUGCAUUAGCUAGUUGGGGCGGUAACGGCUCACAAAGGACACGAUGCAUAGCCUACCUUGGAGGGUGAUCGAGCACACUGGGACUGAGACAAGUCACAGACUCCUACGGGAGGGAGCAGUAGGGAAUCUUCGGAAAUGGACGAAAGUCUGACCGAGCAACGCAGCGUGAGGUAAUAAGGUUUUUGGAUCGUAAAACGCUGUUGUGAGAGAAUCGGUAUCUAACAAGAAAGCCACGGCUAACUACGUGCCAGCAGCCGCGGUAAUAC